rnacentral:rRNA from 1 species
UCACUAUUGGAGCGGCCGAUAUCGGAUUAGCUAGUUGGUGAGGUAAAGGCUCACCAAGGCUGCGAUCCGUAGCUGGUUUGAGAGGACGACCAGCCACACUGGGACUGAGACACGGCCCAG